UACGUAGGGGGCAAGCGUUGUCCGGAUUUAUUGGGCGUAAAGCGCUCGCAGGCGGCCCGAUGCGUCGUGCGUGAAACACCCCGGCUCAACUGGGGAGGGUCGUGCGAUACGGUUGGGCUUGGGGCCAGUAGGGGGAUGCGGAAUUCCGGGUGUAGUGGUGGAAUGCGUAGAGAUCCGGAGGAACACCAGCGGCGAAGGCGGCAUCCUGGACUGGUACUGACGCUCAUGAGCGAAAGCGUGGGGAGCGAUCCGG
rnacentral:rRNA from 1 species